rnacentral:rRNA from 1 species
GAUGAAUGCUGGCGGCGUGCCUAACACAUGCAAGUCGAACGGUAACAUGUUCUGCACUAUCGUUUUCUUUUCCUAGCUUUUUGAGUUUUGAUAUUCAAUUUAGCCUUAAGGAGUCCAAAAAGGAAGCGGGAGUGCAGAAUGAUGACGAGUGGCGGACGGCUGAGUAACGCGUGGGAAUCUGCCCCAAAGUGAGGAAUAACUGCCCGAAAGGGUAGCUAAUACCGCAUAGUCUCUUAGGAGUAAAGUCUUCGGACGCUUUGGGAGGAGCCUGCGUUGGAUUAGGUUGUUGGUAGGGUAAUGGCCUACCAAGCCGACGAUCCAUAGCUGGUCUGAGAGGAUGAUCAGCCAGACUGGGACUGAGACACGGCCCAGACUCCUACGGGAGGCAGCAGUGAGGAAUCUUCCACAAUGGGGGCAACCCUGAUGGAGCAACGCCGCGUGAAGGAUGAAGGUCUUAGGAUCGUAAACUUCUUUAUGAAUGAAGAAUAUGAC